GGGAACAGGAGAAUCGACGUUUCGGGCAUGAGCCCUUCUUCAGUGGCUGCUUGUGAAGAUUCACCUUUCCUCAGCCUUGGGCUCUCGUUGAUUCUGGAGGGUGCACUAAUAAAAAGCCGCCAAAAUUCUGUGCUGCAAGGGAACAGCGGCCAUGUCAUUGGCAAAGGGCGAAGAAAUAGCAAAGAGCUUCUGGGAG